ACCGUCAUGUAGUGGCGGACGGGUGAGUAACGCGUGAGCAACCAACCCUAUGCAGGGGGAUAACAGUUAGAAAUGACUGCUAAUACCGCAUAAGCCCACACUGCCGCAUGGCAGAGGGGGAAAAGAUUUUAUCGGCAUAGGACGGGCUCGCGUCCGAUUAGUUAGUUGGUGGGGUAACGGCCUACCAAGACCGCGAUCCGGUAGCCGGCCUGAGAGGUGAUCGGCCACAUUGGGACUGAGACACGGCCCAAACUCCUACGGGAGGCAGCAGUGGGGAAUAUUGCACAAUGGGGGAAACCCUGAUGCAGCAACGCCGCGUGAGUGAAGAAGUAUUUCGGUAUGUAAAGCUCUAUCAAUGGGGAAGAAAACGACGGUACCCAUAUAAGAAGCCCCGGCUAACUACGUGCCAGCCGCGGC
rnacentral:rRNA from 1 species